CCUACGGGUGGCAGCAGUGAGGAAUAUUGGUCAAUGGUCGGGAGCCUGAUCCAGCGACGCCGCGUGAGGGAGGAAGGUACAUAGUAUGUUAAACCCCUUUUGUCAGGGAACAAAGACUGGGACCCGUCCCCGAAUGAGUGUACCUGAACAAAACGCAUCGACAAACUCGGUGCCGGCGGCCGUGGUAAUCCGGGGUAUCCGACUGUUAACGGAUGUUAUGGGGUUUAGGGGGUGGGAUGCGGGGUUGUUAGGCCGGCGCGCAAGCCCGGGGCACCACCCCCGCCCCGCCGUUGAAACUGGGAGUCUCGAGUUGGAGAGAGGGAUGCGGAAUUCGCGGUGUAGCGGUGAAAUGCAUAGAUAUCGGGCAGAACUCCGAUGGCGAAGGCAGCAUGCCGGCUCCACACUGACGCUGAGGCACGAAAGCGUGGGUAGCGAACAGGAUUAGAUACCCCGGUAGUC
rnacentral:rRNA from 1 species